rnacentral:rRNA from 1 species
GAUGAACGCUGGCGGCGUGCCUAAUACAUGCAAGUCGAGCGAACAGACGAGGAGCUUGCUCCUCUGACGUUAGCGGCGGACGGGUGAGUAACACGUGGAUAACCUACCUAUAAGACUGGGAUAACUUCGGGAAACCGGAGCUAAUACCGGAUAAUAUAUUGAACCGCAUGGUUCAAUAGUGAAAGACGGUUUUGCUGUCACUUAUAGAUGGAUCCGCGCCGCAUUAGCUAGUUGGUAAGGUAACGGCUUACCAAGGCGACGAUGCGUAGCCGACCUGAGAGGGUGAUCGGCCAAACUGGAACUGAGACACGGUCCAGACCCCUACGGGAGGCAGCAGUAGGGAAUCUUCCGCAAUGGGCGAAAGCCUGACGGAGCAACGCCGCGUGAGUGAUGAAGGUCUUCGGAUCGUAAAACUCUGUUAUAGGGAAGAACAAAUGUGUAAGUAACUAUGCACGUCUUGACGGUACCUAAUCAGAAAGCCACGGCUAACUACGUG